CAGAGGGAUGACCCCCUAUGGUGCUAGACGGCCCUAAUAGUCUGAUUUACAUAGGCCAAACGAUGGCCAUUAAUAAACAAUGCAGGGGGGGGCAGACACUUAUUGGAAUUCAAUUUACACAUGUAAAGUAGGAGGUGUUAUUCUGAUGACCAUCGAAAGGGCGUUACCUGCUCGGCCAAUUAUAUAGAGUAGCAUUUUUGGGGUUAGGGUUAGUGAAGGACUACCGCUGGAGACACCCACAACAGAUAAUAAUGGCUCGGAGAACGUUGCUCUUGCGUUGCAGGAAUAUUCUCAACGACUCCAUUCGACGUCUCCUGAUGGACGGGCCUCAUGUAGGCGAACAUCAAUCAGCAUUACGCAGGUUGGAGAUAAUGCAGAGGAGCCUGCAGUGGGCAAGGGGAAAUUUGAUUAAUGUCCAAGAUGCUGACCAAAUUCUCAGCGACCUAGCAGAAUUGUUAGAAGAAAUCCGAAUGGCUGGUAAUCAAGGAGGGCAAGUUGGUUCUGGUUACCACGCCCAGUUGGUUCAGGGAGGAAGGAGAGGAGCACCUACUUUUUCCAUCACUCGGCAACAGCUGUUGUUUCUGAGGUCUUGUGGCUUCAACAUACCUCAGAUGGCUGGUGUUCUUAAUGUGUCCGAACGUACUGUUCAACGACGUUUGAGGCAAGUGGCUAAAUCAUGUUUAAUUUGUUUUUGCUCUGUCAUUAUGUGAUGGAGCUUUCCAUCAAUGCAUUAUAAUUUGUAUAUGUAUCAUACAUAUACCCACACAGACAUACACACUAUAAAACAAUCAAUAUUGAUUGAUAAUGUGCUAAACAUAUUUUUUUCCUUCUAUUAACAGAGUGUUAAACCUGCGCCAGACAUUUUCAACUAUGCCCGAAUCGGAUCUGGAUGACCUAGUCACGGAGCUGGUUUCUGGCAAUGACUUGGUGGGUCCUGAGUCAGUACGAGCGGCGCUGCGUGCAAGGGGACUCCGCGUCCAACGUAGAAGGGUGCGAGAAAGUAUGCUGCGCACAAACCCUGGGGCAGCUGCACUUAGAUCCUUACUGCAGAGACCAGAGAGAAGGACCUACCAAGUACAAGGUCCUAACUCUUUGUGGCACAUUGAUGGUAACCACAAGUUGAUAAGGUGGAGGAUGGUCAUCCAUGGAGGGAUAGAUGGCUACAGUCGCUUGGUUGUUUUCCUCCGUGCCUCCUCCAACAACCGCAGCAGCACAGUGUUGGAAAGCUUUGUCAAUGCUGUGGAUCGCUAUGGUGUGCCCUCCAGGGUCAGGACUGACAAAGGAGGAGAAAACAGUUCUGUGUGCCUCAUGAUGAACCUCUUCCGAGGUUUUAGACGAGGCAGCGCCAUUCAAGGGAGGAGCGUACACAACCAACGCAUAGAGAGGCUCUGGGGGGAUCUCUGGCGUGGACUCACAAACGUGUACCACAGCCUAUUUCACUUUUUGGAGAGUGAGGGCAUAAUUAACCCUGACAGUGAUAUGCAUCUCUGGGCUCUC